CAGACACUGCACAUGAAUGUCCUUUUUCCCUGCAGUGCCUAUGCCAUUAAAGGGUCACAGCAGCAGUUCUGAGGGACUUGCAAGACCACAUGCAAUCCUUCUGAGGAAGCCUUCCCAGGAAAAGCUGCUCGUAGUACCCCACAUACAUGAGGGCUCAGCCUGCAGAUGAGCUAUGGAGAAGUGAGCAGAACUGAGCAAGCCACAGCAAUGGCAGCUGCUUGACAUUAUGACC